GCCCGGAGGGGCGGGGAGGGGAGGUGCCGUGCCGUGCCGUGCCGUGCCGUGCCGUGCCGUGCCGUGCCGUGCCGGCGGCGGCAGCAGCACCCGCGUGUCCCGGCUCGCUGGGUGAGCGGCUGGCUGGCUGUUCGCCUGAGUAGCAGCGAAAAGCCUCGGGGUGCUUCUGCUUCAGGCUGGGUUAAAUCGUUGGCCGGAGGGUGAUUAAAAAUACGCCUGGCUGUUCUCUGAAAUAAUUACUUUAAGAAAAGCCAUAGGUACCAUAAAGAAGUUAUCCGAGUUAUGUUUUUCAGCCCCAAUUGAAAUGUUCGGUUCGAGGCGUGGUAAUGCAUCCUUUAGCAAUGGCAGUGAUGUGCUAGAGCUGUGAUCAGUCUGCAGAGUUUUCUUUGAAUCUGACUGGUGAAGAAACACACGCUCUCUUGUUAGUAACCCGGCAAAGGGGACCUGCUCGAGCCCUUGCAGGGCACAGCUGGCCCCCUUUUUCCCAGCUGUGAGUUACUCUGUAAUCAGGGAGCUUUUGAGGACUUGACAGCUUGGGAUGCUGCGUGUGAAACCUCAGCCGUCCAGUCGGGUGCUCUGCGCCGCAGAAGCAGUAGGGGGAGCAUGUGUUAUUCCCAAACCUCUAUUAACUGCUGUAAAAGGAAGAGGGGGAAAGUUUUGGUGUAACAAAUCUCAUCCCCUCACUUGACCUUUUACAAACUGUAGAAGCUAAUGACAAUAAAAUGAAGAUUCAUAUGGUUAACUUCUUCAGGCGGCUGAAAGGAUUUUUAGGAAGAAAAAAAAAGGAAAAGAGUUAACCAACUUAUUGAUCUUCUCAGAGGGACUUUAGCCUCACAUCCAUGCUGAAGUAAAAUUUAACUUGCAAGCAACCAAAAUUGUUUAAGGAAAGUAUGUUUAUGAACUUGGAAACUGCACACAAAGAUACGGUUUUUUGCUCUGUUCCCUUUUAAAAAACCUUAUGCUUAUUUUUGCAUGUGGCAUGCUUUCUGAAAAUGAGAAAGAGCAGUCAAUAAACCGAGCUGGUAUUGUUCAAGAGAAUAUUCAGCCUCCAGGAUUAAAAGUGUGGUCUGAUCCAUUUGGAAGGAAGUAAUGUUGCUGGCUGAGUGCAUCGCAUGGCAGGACUGAAGAUGGACAUCUUCAGUUGCCUCGUCUUAUGUUGACGUGUGUCUUCAAGUGUUGGUGGAAAGAAUGCUGAAUAUGCUGUGUGGGCACAUGAGGAACAACAAACACUACUGGUUGGGAUGCCAAGAGGAAAAAACAUACUAUUUUGACAGUGGAUCCUGGGGCAUAAUGCACAGACUGUAAGCAAGCUGAAUGAUUCUUGAGUUUAGAACUGAAAUAUUUAUUUCCUUGGCAAGAGGGAAGUGGAAUUGUUUUUGUGGUUAAUCUGUAAACAUUUCUAUAAUAAAUUAUGAAUAGAAUAAAUGAUGCAGACUGCUACAGCUUCCUCCAUGGUAUGAGAAUUACUUUUUGUGGUUUUAUUAUGAAAACAUAAUAGAAUGAUAGAAGUAUAUUCUGAGAGAGAUCAGUGCAGAAAAUAUAACAUGACGAGUAUAAACUUGUAUAUUAAAAUGUCUUCCUUUUAAA